UACGUAGGGGGCAAGCGUUGUCCGGAAUCAUUGGGCGUAAAGAGCGUGUAGGCAGCCCGAUAAGUCCGCUGUGAAAGUCCAGGGCUCAACCCUGGAAAGCGGGUGGAUACUGCCGGGCUAGAAUCCGGAAGAGGCGAGUGGAAUUCCUGGUGUAGCGGUGGAAUGCGCAGAUAUCAGGAGGAACACCAAUAGCGAAGGCAGCUCGCUGGGACGGUAUUGACGCUGAGGCGCGAAAGCGUGGGGAGCAAACAGG
rnacentral:rRNA from 1 species